UACGGGGGGGAGCAAGCGUUGUUCGGAUUUACUGGGCGUAAAGGGCGCGUAGGCGGAUGUUUAAGUCAGAGGUAAAAGCCCAGGGCUCAACCUUGGAACUGCCUUUGAUACUGGACAUCUUGAGUACGGGAGAGGUGAGUGGAACUCCGAGUGUAGAGGUGAAAUUCGUAGAUAUCUGGAAGAACACCGGUGGCGCAAGCGGAUUGCUGGGCCAUAACUGACGCUGAGGAACGAAAGCUAGGGGAGCAAAUGGG
rnacentral:rRNA from 1 species